GCUGCACCUCCUGCCGCAGGUGGGGGCACACGCGUGUGUCAUACGUGUGGGGAGGCGUGGGUGGGGUCAUACAUGGGGUAGUGGGUGCGUGUGUGGUCAUACAUGAGGUUAUACAUGGGGUCAUCGGUGUGUAUGUGGUCAUGGAUGUGGUCAUGCUGCACCUCCUGCCGCAGGUGGGGGCACACGCGUGUGUCAUACGUGUGGGGGGGGCAUGGCUGGGGUCAUACGUGGGGUAGUGGGUGCGUGUGUGGUCAUACGUGAGGUUAUACAUGGGGUCAUGGGUGUGUGGGGUGACCUGUGUGGUCAUACGUGUGGUCAUGGGUGUGUGUGUGGUCAUAUAUGUGGUCAUACGUGUGGUCAUGGGUGUGUGAGCGGACAUAUGUGGUCAUACGUGUGGUCAUGGCCGUGUAUGUGGUCAUAGAUGUGGUCACGCUGCACCUCCUGCUGCAGGUGGGGGCACACGCGUGUGUCAUACGUGUGGGGAGGCACGGCUGGGGUCAUACGUGCGUGGUGUCAUGGGUGCAGGUGUGGUCAUACGUGUGGUCAUAGGUGUGGUGAUGGGUGUUUGUGUGGUCAUACAUGUGGUUCUGGGUACAUGUAUGACCCAUGGCCACACAUAUAACUACAUGUAUGACAACAUGUAUGAUCCAUUACCACACGUAUGACCACAUACAUGUCCACACACACCCGCGACCACACAUAUGACCACCUACAUGGCCACAUACACCCAUGGCCACACAUAUGACCACACGUAUGACCACAUACAUGACUACAUGUGCCCAUUCCCACACAUAUGACCACACGUAUGACCCACAGCCACACAUAUGACCACACGCAUGACCACAUACAUGACUACAUGUGCCCAUUUCCACACAUAUGACCACAUGUAUGACCCAUUCCCACACAUAUAACCACACGUAUGACCACAUGUGCCCAUUCCCACACAUAUGACCACACGUAUGACCCACAGCCACACAUACGACCACACGCAUGACCACAUACAUGACCACAUGUGCCCAUUCCCACACAUAUGACCACACGUAUGACCCACAGCCACACAUAUAACCACACACAUGACCCCAUACAUGCCCACAUAUGCCCAUUUCCACACAUAAAACCACAUGUAUGACCGCAUACAUGAUCACACGUACCCACGACCACCCAUAGGACCACAUGUAUGACCCAUUACCACACAUAUAACCACACGCAUGACCCCAUACAUGCCCACAUGUGCCCAUUUCCACACAUAUGACCACACGUAUGACCCACGACCACACAUAUAACCACACAUAUGACCACAUGUGCCCAUUCCCACACAUAUGACCACACGUAUGACCACAUGCAUGACCACACGUGCCCAUUCCCACCCACACGACCACACGUCUGACCCCAUACGUGCCCACACCCCCCACACGUGUUAACACGCGUGUGUGCGGGGCAGUUCCUAGAGCUGCACGUGCACGAGGAGGGGGGCCACGAGGAGCACGCGGAGGCGCACACGCGUGUGCAGCCAUGGCAGCUGCUGGUGGUGUUGGCAGCGCUGUUCCUCUUCUUCCUCAUGGAGAGGAUCCUCCGCAUCGUGGGGGGGGCGCCCCAAUGUGGGGUGAGUCGUUAUGGGGGGC
ensembl:lncRNA